CAGCAGCCGCGGGAAUACGAAGGGGGCUAGCGUUGCUCGGAAUCACUGGGCGUAAAGGGUGCGUAGGCGGGUCUUUAAGUCAGGGGUGAAAUCCUGGAGCUCAACUCCAGAACUGCCUUUGAUACUGAGGAUCUUGAGUUCGGGAGAGGUGAGUGGAACUGCGAGUGUAGAGGUGAAAUUCGUAGAUAUUCGCUAGAACACCAGUGGCGAAGGCGGCCAACUGGUCCGAUACUGACGCUGAGGUGCGAAAGCGUGGGGAGCAAACAGGAUUAGAUACCCCUGUAGUCCCUGUCUCUUAUAC
rnacentral:rRNA from 1 species